rnacentral:lncRNA from 1 species
CCUUGAACUGCCCAUAGAGGCAGGUGCCUUAAUGUGGAGAUUGAUCUAAUGGCUUGUUCUAAGUCACAGUUGUCUCCUUUUGUGUUAUGAAUGAAGCCUAACUGGAAGUUGAUUUUUAGAACAAACAUUAGCAGAAGUGGUUUUCUCAACAAUUCCAAACUUUAAUUACAGUCAAAAUUUUCUUUCUUACUAUUUUUAACAAAUCUGGUCAUAUUGGGGACAGUGCCUACUCCUUUAGCUAAACCCUGCUUUGUGUAACUUAGUACUUCCUAAACAUGUAUGUAAGUACAUCCUUUGAAGUGUAAGUUUUGACUUCAAGAUUCUCCUGUAUCAGUAGUCCCUGUAGUGAUGCAAAGGCCCUCUAAAAGCCUCCUCUCUUCUUCUUACUGCUGCAGUAGAAAUAACAUUUCAAUAUGAGUUUUGAAGUAGAAACCCAUAAAAACAAAGCAUUGCAUUUCUGCCCUGCUCUGCCCUGCCAAUGGUUUCCCCCGCAAGACAAGACACUGAAAUUCCACCCCAGUAGAUGAAAAUAGUCUUUUUCCCAAUAUUAACUCAAUAUUUUAAAGUCUGAAGUAUCAUCUGUGAAAUCAAGUAAAUUGUCCACUUAUGUUAUGCAAUGGUGACAAGGAGACAGGUUAGAUUUUCCUAUCCUUAAAAAGAGAAAUGCAUCCAAAAAAGUGAAUGCCAUUGGCAGACAAGGAUCCCGGUGUGUCAGGUAUUAUCUUCCCUAUGGUUUUGUUGAAUCCAUUUUCUUGGGUGCAGUUAAAAACUGGUAUCAAUAGUUCUUCCAGGUAGGCAGUCCAGGCUACCAGUGGUUCUGCUCUGCUAGGUCCCUAAAUGCAGCCUUCUUCACAUAGUUCAUGACAGAAAUGUAAAUAUUAAAUAUUACCCUAUAGACAGAAUUCUGAUGGAGGAUUUGAAUUUUUAGGAGAAGAAAAGCAUUUCCUAACUGCUCUAGAAUUUUGCACACUUGAGAAUUACAAUCAUGUGGCACUCGUAACUGAUCCACACCUGAGACGUCUUGAACCUAAGGACCUCACAGUUAAGAGAUGUUGGACUUCUAAUGAGCUGAAUUGUUAAAAACUGUGGGAACUUUAAAGUUAGACAGAGUACAUUUUAUUUUAUAACGUAGUCCUUAAACUACCUGGACAAUUAAUGGAAAAGUGUGGCUUAAAGUGUUUGAGUCUCAAGGUGCAAAAGGGUGGAGUUGUGAUGGUGAGUGCUAAUUGUUAACUCUACAGAAUCUAGAAUAACAUGACAGAUCGGCCAUUGGACAUGCUUCUUACUUUAACGGCAUUAAUUGAAAUUGUGUGGCCCAACUACUUUGGGUGAUGCCAUUUCUGACUGAAAUCCUGGACUGUAUGUAUGGAGAAAGGGAAUGGAAUGGCAAUAUGCACUCAUUGAUGUCUGAUUCCUAAAGGUGGGUACAGUGUGACCAGUUACUUCCAGCUUCUGCUGUAGUGACUUUUCUAUGCACUGCAAGCUACACUAAGUUCUUACCCAAUUAACUUUCUUUUGUCGUGUUAUUUUAGCACAAUAACAGGAAAAGGAAUUAAUAUAAUAUCAAGAUAGUGUCCUCUGGAUUCUAGGGCACAGAUGACCAGGAUGUUUGCAGUGAGAUGGUAUCAUCUAUGUAUAACAGAGAGUUACAUUUAUGAACUCUCAACAAAUGGUCUCCAAAGGAGAUGUGGGACAUUUCAGAAAGCUCCAACCUUAAGUGAAGAUGUACAGACAACUAAUAAAAGAAUGAGAAUCAUCCUUUGCUGGGAACAUAGAAGAAGAGAGGUUAGGAAGACUGGAGAACCAGAGGAC